UUAAAAAAAAAAAACAAACAAAGUCUAAAACCUAAAGCAGGAUUUCUCCUCUCCCUGGAGCCACCGUCAUCCCCAUCCCGCUUCCGGUUUUCUCCUCCUGACAUUACCGGUUCUGCCAUCAUCUCCAUCUCACCGCCAGUUCUCUCCUCUCACUGUUAUCGCUAUUGACGAUGAUGCCAGUGGCUUUGCGGUAUUUCUGGGCGUGGUGGACCAUCGAUGAGUAGUACUCGUUCUGGCGGCCUUGCAGUGGUUGGAGGAUUUUAGUGCCGCAGAUAGGCACACAACCUGGGAGCUCCACCGGGGUUGAUUCUUGAAGAAGAUUUUUUAUUUGCGUUGGAAUCUUUGUAAACCAUUUCUGCAACCUUCUGAAUUUUGAAUGGUGAUGGCGUAUACAUUAUUUAAAUUGGUAGAACCCAGAAAUAAACAAUUGGCAGUAGACUACACGCCAACAUAGAAGUCAUUACAUGCAGAGUUGAAUGUUUGACAGGUUGUUUGAGUGUGUUAGAUCUUUUGGAUUAUAUCAAUCCUGAUGCCGAGCUUAAAGCAAGAGAAAAUGCAAAGGAAACUGGCCCGUGCAAAGAUCAAAUGCCGAAUGGGUCAGAACCAAUGGGAGCCUAUUGAGAAUAGGUCAAAGGCCGAAUAGAUCAAGUUGCAUUGGUCCCCCCAGGAACCAUAGUGAAGCUGUUGAAGAACAAGUUCCCAAGGAAUCAGCAGCUGAGGAACCAAUUCCCACUCAGCAUAUUGUAUUAAAUCCUCCUGACUAUAGCCAUGUAUGCUUCAAGUGUAUUAAGACCAAUUCAAACAAUCAAUAAAUUGCUGCUUGAAUUGUUGUCAUCCCUGUAAA